UAGUGAUCCGGUGGUUCUGAAUGGAAGGGCCAUCGCUCAACGGAUAAAAGGUACUCCGGGGAUAACAGGCUGAUACCGCCCAAGAGUUCAUAUCGACGGCGGUGUUUGGCACCUCGAUGUCGGCUCAUCACAUCCUGGGGCUGAAGUAGGUCCCAAGGGUAUGGCUGUUCGCCAUUUAAAGUGGUACGCGAGCUGGGUUUAGAACGUCGUGAGACAGUUCGGUCCCUAUCUGCCGUGGGCGCUGGAGAACUGAGGGGGGCUGCUCCUAGUACGAGAGGACCGGAGUGGACGCAUCACUGGUGUUCGGGUUGUCAUGCCAAUGGCACUGCCCGGUAGCUAAAUGCGGAAGAGAUAAGUGCUGAAAGCAUCUAAGCACGAAACUUGCCCCGAGAUGAGUUCUCCCUGACUCCUUGAGAGUCCUGAAGGAACGUUGAAGACGACGACGUUGAUAGGCCGGGUGUGUAAGC
rnacentral:rRNA from 1 species